CAAUGACCUAAAGCAUUACAUUGAUCUCGUUUCUCUUCUCCCUGACUCUGUUCGUGUUUAUUGCAUCUUCGCCAUCUCGAUCGUGUUGGCAUCGUGCGAUUAUUGUUGGUUAAGCCUUCUCCUCUAUCGAUCGCCUGAGCUGACCAACCACACUCCCUAGAUCGUCACCCCGUGAAAGCAGAUCUUCGGCCAAGAGGGGAGAUUCGAGCCUGCGCAUGUCUCUGAUCUUCGAUUUGCACUACUUCGGCCAACCUCUUCCUCCACUCCCCAUUGUCACCCGAUUGCAUCAGAUCCCUACUUGACACCACCGCUCGAUCGUGCCGGUGCCACAUGGUCGCCGCCCUUUUCCUUUGCCUUGGCUCACCACCACCCUUCUUCGUUGCCUUCAAGCCGGUGCCCUAGUGUUGUCGAUGUCCUUUCCUCUACCUCGGCUCGUCACCACGGCACCACAGAGACAUUCAGAUUCUGUCUGAGAGGAAGUGUGGAUCCGGCUUAGGGGGGCAGCAGUUUCACCUUCUCCAUACAUCAAUUUCGACAGUGAGUUUCUCUAGGGGAGAAUCAUUGGCUGAGGCAUCAACUCCGGAGUUUAGAUUCGAGGCGAGUAUCUUGAUGCGGAAAUUGUUUGACAUGAUCUAAAGAUAAAAGACAUAUAAAGGAAAAGAAAAGAUUUAGCAAGGAAGGUGACAAGGUGGCGCGGAUAGUGUGUGAUG